ACAGGGCCUCCCUUCAUCCACUACCUAUUAGUGAAGAUCCAUUCAGCAGAGUAUCUGUUGACAUUAUAGUUGUGCAGGCACUUUGGUGACUCUAGAGAACCUCGGGCCAAUCACAUGUCCCCGUGAUGGUGACUUUGCAUUCGGAUGUCUGCCUUAUCGACUUUCAAUGCCACUUUCAGCGCCUACUAUGGUGACCACGAGUAACGAGGAAUCAGGGUUCGAUUCCG